AAGUCCCUCUGAUGACACCACAAAUCUGGAAAUGAAGAACUUCUUAGAGCUGAUUGGAAAUGGCAUUGCGGAGCUGAAACUUAACUGGAGGAAAUAUAUCUCCUGAAGAAGAAAAUAUAAUGCACUGUAAGGAUCUGACUUCUGGUGAAAAAUUCAAGCCUAGAGAAAACUUGUCCGCUUUGUUAGAAAGAAUGGGUUGGACAAUUUUCUUCAAUUCCAAAGGAUAUCUGAACGCCAUGCUGAGCUUAAUCUCUGCAGCAUGCUCUGUGCUUCUCAUCUCUUCCUGAUGCACUGCAUGGUUAUCCUGAAGGGGAGGAUAAAGAAACUGGCCACCAAGAUGGUAAUCACUAGUGGAAAUGAAGAAGAUAAAGGCAGUCAAGAAAAGGAAAGCAAAGAAGAAACUAUCUUGGCAAUGCUUGGAAUUAUUGGGACAAUUCUGAACCUCAUUGUCAUCAUUUUUGUGUAUAUUUACACAACGUUGUAGACUAGAAGGCAUGCAAAUAGACCAGAUAAAACGGCCAUUAAGAGUCAUGACAAACAUUGCUGACUAUUGACAAGUUGUUUAAUCAGAAUUGACUCUGUAUUAUAACACAUCAUGAAAGCACUGCCUGCAGGCAGCGAAGGCUGAAGCACAAUUAAUUUAACAAGACUUUUUCACACAGUAACAAGCUUAACUCUUCUGUCCUGCCCUCUUCCUUUUGGUCUGGUUUUCAGUUUGGGGGAAAAUGACUGCAAUUAUGUAAGUUGUAGCUUUGAAGAAAUCCACCAGAGAUAUGUUGUUUUAACACAAUUUAAAAAAACCCCAAAA